rnacentral:lncRNA from 1 species
AUACCACAUUAUGGAGUGUAUAUCCACUGAAGACACGUGGAAUACAUUGGAGAAGGUAUUCAAACUGAAAUUGACAUUGAGAAUAUUAACACUGAAAAGAGAAUUUAGCAACAUUUGGUUCCAGCAGGAGGAGGAUAUGUCAUUGUAUAUAACAGAUGCAUGAAAAUUUUGCUAAGAAAUUGGAAAAGGCAGGACGAAAAAUAGAACCUGAGGACUUAGCUUAUUUCAUUAUAGCCAUUCUCCCUGAAGGUUAUGAUAUGGUGAUGAUACAGUUCAACACACUGAAAGACACCAAGUUUACUCUGGGAGAAGUAUCAGAUGCUUUAAUAACUGAGUAUGAACAUUGGAAAGCUUGCUACCAGGAAACCAAUGAAAUUGAAAUACUUAUGAUGAAACAAAAGAGGAACCUCUUAAUCAUAUGAACUCAAGCAAGGAAAAAUCUGAUGUACACAGUCUAUUUUCUGGCAAAUGCUAUGUCUAUGGUAAAUUUGGGCAUAUGAGUUGCUCAUGUUCUAUGAAGAGAAAAGGAAAAACCCCAAGAGAUAAAAUACUGAACGAAAAAGGAUUGAUGAAACCUGAAACUAGUCUGAUCUGUAUGAUGUCUGAUUUAGACCAAAAUACCUGAGUGUUCGAUACAGCAGCCAC